rnacentral:rRNA from 1 species
AUUGAACGCUGGCGGCAGGCCUAACACAUGCAAGUCGAGCGAGCGGCGGACGGGUGAGUAAUGCCUGGGAAUUGCCCAGUCGGGGGGGAUAACAGUUGGAAACGACUGCUACUACCGCAUACUAUUGGAUUGCCGAGGUGGGGUUAGGUAUUUGGUGAGUUAAUGGCUCACAAAGGCGACGAUCCCUAGCUGGUCUGAGAGGAUGAUCGGCCACAUUGGAACUGUGACACGGUCAAGACUCCUACGGGGGGCAGCAGGGGGGAAUAUUGCACAAUGGGGGAAAUCCUGAUGCAGCCAGGCGGCGUGUGUGAAGAAGGCCUUCGGGUUGUAAAGCACUUUCAGCGAGGAGGCGUUACUCGCAGAAGAAGCACCGGCUAACUACGUGCCAGCAGCCGCGGUAAUUC